rnacentral:rRNA from 1 species
GGACACGCUGGGGGCGUCUAACACAUGCAAGUCGAACGACGAAGGGAGCUUGCUCCUCAAGUUAGUGGCGGACGGGUGAGUAACGCGUGAGUAACCUGCCUUUCUAAGGGGGAAUAACAUUCUGAAAAGGAUGCUAAUACCGCAUGACAUCGUAGUAUCGCAUGGUACAGCGAUCAAAGGAGCAAUCCGCUGAAAGAUGGACUCGCGUCCGAUUAGCUAGUUGGCGGGGAUAAAGGACCCACCCAAGGCGACGAUCGGUAGCCGGACUGAGAGGUUGAUCGGCCACAUUGGGACUGAGACACGGCCCAGACUCCUACGGGAGGGCAGCAGUGGGGGAGUAUUGCACAAUGGGGGAAACCCGUCGAUGCAGCAACGCCGCGUGAAGGAAGAAGGUCUUCGGAUUGUAAACUUACUGUCCUCAGGGAAGGAUAAUGACGGUACCUGAGGAGGAAGCUCCGGCUAACUACGUGCCAGCAGCCGCGGUAA